rfam:Bat SARS-like coronavirus isolate bat-SL-CoVZXC21, complete genome
AUAUUAGGUUUUUACCUUCCCAGGUAACAAACCAACUAACUCUCGAUCUCUUGUAGAUCUGUUCUCUAAACGAACUUUAAAAUCUGUGUGACUGUCACUUAGCUGCAUGCUUAGUGCACUCACGCAGUUUAAUUAUAAUUAAUUACUGUCGUUGACAGGACACGAGUAACUCGUCUAUCUUCUGCAGGUUGCUUACGGUUUCGUCCGUGUUGCAGCCGAUCAUCAGCAUACCUUGGUUUCGUCCGGGUGUGACCGAGAGGUAAGAUGGAGAGCCUUGUCCCUGGUUUCAACGAGAAAA